CCUACGGGGAGCAGCAGUGGGGAAUAUUGGACAAUGGGCGAAAGCCUGAUCCAGCCAUGCCGCGUGUGUGAAGAAGGCCUUCGGGUUGUAAAGCACUUUCAGUGGGGAAGAAAGCCUUGGGGCUAAUACCCUCGAGGAAGGACAUCACCCACAGAAGAAGCACCGGCUAACUCCGUGCCAGCAGCCGCGGUAAUACGGAGGGUGCGAGCGUUAAUCGGAAUUACUGGGCGUAAAGCGCGCGUAGGCGGUCUGAUAAGCCGGUUGUGAAAGCCCCGGGCUCAACCUGGGAACGGCAUCCGGAACUGUCAGGCUAGAGUGCAGGAGAGGAAGGUAGAAUUCCCGGUGUAGCAGUGAAAUGCGUAGAGAUCGGGAGGAAUACCAGUGGCGAAGGCGGCCUUCUGGACUGACACUGACGCUGAGGUGCGAAAGCGUGGGUAGCAAACAGGAUUAGAUACCCGAGUAGUC
rnacentral:rRNA from 1 species